rnacentral:rRNA from 1 species
GACGAACGCUGGCGGCGUGCUUAACACAUGCGAGUCGAACGAAGAGCGAUGGGAGCUUGCUUCUAUCAAUCUUAGUGGCGAACGGGUGAGUAACGCGUAAUCAACCUGCCCUUCAGAGGGGGACAACAGUUGGAAACGACUGCUAAUACCGCAUACGAUCUAAUCUCGGCAUCGAGGAUAGAUGAAAGGUGGCCUCUACAUGUAAGCUAUCACUGAAGGAGGGGAUUGCGUCUGAUUAGCUAGUUGGAGGGGUAACGGCCCACCAAGGCGAUGAUCAGUAGCCGGUCUGAGAGGAUGAACGGCCACAUUGGGACUGAGACACGGCCCAGACUCCUACGGGAGGCAGCAGUGGGGAAUCUUCCGCAAUGGACGAAAGUCUGACGGAGCAACGCCGCGUGAGUGAUGACGGCCUUCGGGUUGUAAAGCUCUGUUAAUCGGGACGAAAGGCCUUCUUGCGAACAGUUAGAAGGAUUGACGGUACCGGAAUAGAAAGCCACGGCUAACUACGUG